rnacentral:rRNA from 1 species
AUUGAACGCUGGCGGAAUGCUUUACACAUGCAAGUCGAACGGUAGCACGGGAGCUUGCUCCUUGUGGCUAGUGGCGAACGGGUGAGUAACAUAUCGGAACGUACCCAGUCGUGGGUGUUAACUAUCCGAAAGGAUAGCUAAUACCACAUACGUCCUGACGGAGACAGCGGGGGAUUGCAAGACCUCGCGCGAUUGGUUCGGCCGAUAUCGGAUUAGCUAGUUGGUGGAGUAAAGGCUCACCAAGGCGGAGAUCCGUAGCGGGUCUGAGAGGACGAUCCGCGACACUGGAACUGAGACGCGGUCCAGACUCCUACGGGAGGCAGCAGUGGGGAAUUAUGGACAAUGGGGGCAACACCGAUCAAGCAAAUACGCGUGAGUGAAGAAGGCAUUCGGGUUGUAAAGAUCUUUCAGCAGGAGCGAAACGGUCGGCUUUAAUAAGAUCGGCUAAUGACGGUACCUGCAGAAGAAGCACCGGCUAACUACGUG